CUACGUUCUCAGGGCGGGGUGAAACUCCCCACCGGCGGUAAUGCCCUCCCCUCGCGAGAGAGAGGGACGAGCCCGCGGGCGCCCUCCCGAGCUUCGGCGACGGAGGGGACGAGCAGAGCCGGUGCGAUCCCGGAGCCGACGGUCAUAGUCCGGUUAUGAGAACGGUC
rnacentral:ncRNA from 2 species